rnacentral:lncRNA from 1 species
CUAGAUCACAAAGUGAUCAGGGUCAAGAAAUAAACAUUUGUACCUCGAAGCCACUGAGAUUUGGGGCCUUGUUUGUUAUUCAGCAUAAACUAGCAUAUCUUGACUGAUAGAACAAUUAGGAUAUAUGAUAGUCUAUAGUAUGUGUGAGGUGUUAGGAUAAAUUCUAAGAUCCUCAUCCGUAUUUCACACAACUGUCCUCAUUGCUUGAUGAAUUCCAGUCCGUUGGUUCCUCACUUGCUCCAUGCUCUUUCCUAAAUCAUUGCUCUCAAGCAUACUAUUGACUUGUUCAGUAACAUACCAAGCGAUCUUUGACAUUUCCAUUAAGAUGUCAUUUACUUACCAAACCUUUCCCUGACCCCUAGGCC